UACGAAGGGGGCUAGCGUUGCUCGGAAUCACUGGGCGUAAAGGGCGCGUAGGCGGAUCUUUAAGUCGGGGGUGAAAGCCCAGGGCUCAACCCUGGAAUGGCCUUCGAUACUGGAGAUCUUGAGACCGGAAGAGGUAAGUGGAACUGCGAGUGUAGAGGUGAAAUUCGUAGAUAUUCGCAAGAACACCAGUGGCGAAGGCGGCUUACUGGUCCGGUUCUGACGCUGAGGAGCGAAAGUGUGGGGAGCGAACAGG
rnacentral:rRNA from 1 species